CACGUAGGGAGCAAGCGUUUGUCCGGAUUUAUUGGGCGUAAAGAGCUCGUAGGCUGUUCGAUAAGUCGGGUGUGAAACCUCCAGGCUCAACCUGGAGACGCCACCCGAUACUGUCAUGACUAGAGUCCGGUAGGGGGAGCGUGGAAUUCCUGGUGUAGCGGUGAAAUGCGCAGAUAUCAGGAGGAACACCAGCGGCGAAGGCGGCGCUCUGGGCCGGUACUGACGCUGAGGAGCGAAAGCGUGGGUAGCAAACAGG
rnacentral:rRNA from 1 species